rnacentral:tRNA from 1 species
AAGUAAGAAGCGAAUUAUUGCAAUCAGUUUCGACCUGAAAUUUGACAUAAAAUGUCCUUACUUA